rnacentral:tRNA from 1 species
GGGUCGGUACCCGAGUGGCCAAAGGGGGCAGACUGUAAAUCUGCUGGCUCAGCCUACGGUGGUUCGAAUCCACCCCGGCCCA